rnacentral:rRNA from 1 species
UACGUAGGGUGCAAGCGUUGUCCGGAAUUAUUGGGCGUAAAGAGCUCGUAGGCGGUUUGUCGCGUCUGCUGUGAAAACUGGAGGCUCAACCUCCAGCCUGCAGUGGGUACGGGCAAACUAGAGUGCGGUAGGGGAGAUUGGAAUUCCUGGUGUAGCGGUGGAAUGCGCAGAUAUCAGGAGGAACACCGAUGGCGAAGGCAGAUCUCUGGGCCGUAACUGACGCUGAGGAGCGAAAGCGUGGGGAGCGAACAGG